UCCCUUCCAAUGACGAAACAUUCCGGAUGUUAACUCAUAACCACCGAGAGCGCAAAACCGUGUGGAGAUUUCCGUUGCCUUCCUUCUGAGCAUUGAC
rfam:Clohesyomyces aquaticus strain CBS 115471 BCR34scaffold_25, whole genome shotgun sequence.